GGCAAAAAACGGAACCCUUAUAGAUUCGUCAUGUCUGUCUGUCUGUCUGUCUGUCUGUCCGUCCGUAUGUCACAGCCACUUUUCUCCGAAACUAUAAGAACUAUACUGUUGAAACUUGGUAAGUAGAUCUAUUCUGUGAACCGCAUUAAGAUUUUCACACAAAAAUAGAAAAAAAACAAUAAAUUUUUGGGGUUCCCCAUACUUCGAACUGAAACUCAAAAAUUUUUUUUUCAUCAAACCCAUACGUGUGGGGUAUCUAUGGAUAGGUCUUCAAAAAUGAUAUUGAGGUUUCUAAUAUCAUUUUUUUCUAAACUGAAUAGUUUGCGCGAGAGACACUUCCAAAGUGGUAAAAUAGAAUGAUAAAACUAAAAAAAAUAUAUGAUAUACAUUACCAUGCAAACUUCCACCGAAAAUUGGUUUGGACGAGAUCUAGUAAGUAGUUUUUUUUUAAUACGUCAUAAA